rnacentral:misc_RNA from 1 species
GGGUCGUUCACAAGGAUCUGCACCCCGGCUGGAGGUCUCCGUCGGAUCAUACUUUUCAUCGCUAUGAUGGUCAUUACUACAACUUGUAUGCGUUUGGAUAAAUGAAACUCUUGCAAAAAGUGAAUUAAAAAAAUGAAAAUGAAACUUAGAAUUAUUUUUUCUGCCAAUUUCCCUUUCUAAACAUGAUUGUCACAAAGGAUCGAACUAUCUCGAUGUUUUAUCAAAUUUAUUGAAAUAAAAAAAAAUAAUGU